rnacentral:siRNA from 1 species
AGGAUGUGCUUUGUUCUAUCGCCU